rnacentral:rRNA from 1 species
AGCAAUAUGUCAGCGGCAGACGGGUGAGUAACGCGUGGGAAUCUACCCAACCCUACGGAAUAACGCAUGGAAACGUGUGCUAAUACCGUAUACGCCCCCCUUUAAAAUUCCAGGAAGCAUAAAAUGCCUUGGCAUUUUAUGGGGGGGAAAGAUUUAUCGGGGAUGGACGAGCCCGCGUUGGAUUAGCUAGUUGGUGGGGUAAAGGCCUACCAAGGCGACGAUCCAUAGCUGGUAUGAGAGGAUGAUCAGCCACAUUGGGACUGAGAAACGGCCCAAACUCCUACGGGAGGCAGCAGUGGGGAAUAUUGGACAAUGGGCGCAAGCCUGAUCCAGCCAUGCCGCGUGAGUGAUGAAGGCCCUAGGGUUGUAAAGCUCUUUCACCGGAGAAGAUAAUGACGGUAUCCGGAGAAGAAGCCCCGGCUAACUUCGUGCCAGCCGCCGCCGUAAUAC